UACAGAGGUCCCAAGCGUUGUUCGGAUUCACUGGGCGUAAAGGGUGCGUAGGCGGUCGGGUAAGUCUGAUGUGAAAUCUCACAGCUUAACUGUGAAACUGCAUUGGAUACUAUCCGGCUCGAGGAAUGGAGGGGAGACUGGAAUACUUGGUGUAGCAGUGAAAUGCGUAGAUAUCAAGUGGAACACCAGUGGCGAAGGCGGGUCUCUGGGCAGUAACUGACGCUGAGGAACGAAAGCGUGGGUAGCGAACAGG
rnacentral:rRNA from 1 species